AUUGAACGCUGGCGGCAGGCUUAACACAUGCAAGUCGAGCGGGGGAAGGUAGCUUGCUACCGGACCUAGCGGCGGACGGGUGAGUAAUGCUUAGGAAUCCGCCUAUUAGUGGGGGACAACAUCUCGAAAGGGAUGCUAAUACCGCAUACGUCCUACGGGAGAAAGCAGGGGAUCUUCGGACCUUGCGCUAAUAGAUGAGCCUAAGUCGGAUUAGCUAGUUGGUGGGGUAAAGGCCUACCAAGGCGACGAUCUGUAGCGGGUCGGAGAGGAUGAUCCGCCACACUGGGACUGGGACACGGCCCAGACUCCUACGGGAGGCAGCAGUGGGGAAUAUUGGACAAUGGGGGGAACCCUGAUCCAGCCAUGCCGCGUGUGUGAAGAAGGCCUUAUGGUUGUAAAGCACUUUAAGCGAGGAGGAGGCUACUCUAGUUAAUACCUAGGGAUAGUGGACGUUACUCGCAGAAUAAGCACCGGCUAACUCUGUGCCAGCCGCCGCAGUAA
rnacentral:rRNA from 1 species